CCUACGGGUGGCAGCAGUAGGGAAUUUUCGUCAAUGGGCGCAAGCCUGAACGAGCAAUGCCGCGUGAACGAGGAAGGUCUUCGGAUCGUAAAGUUCUGUUGAAGGGGAAAAAGAGCGGAGAGAGGAAAUGCUUUCUGAUUGAUAUUACCCUUCGAGGAAGUCACGACUAACUACGUGCCAGCAGCCGCGGUAAUACGGAGGUGGCGAGCGUUCGCCGGAAUGAGUGGGCGAAAAGGGUGCGUAGGCGGCCUGAUAAGUCUGGGGGGAAAGGGACCGGCUCAACGGGUACAGGCUCUGGAAACUGGCGGGCUAGAGAGCAGGAGAGGGCGGUGGAACUCAAGGUGUAGCGGUAAAAUGCGUAGAUAUAUGGAAGAACACCAGUGGCGAAGGCGGCCGCCUGGCCUGUUACUGACGCUGAGGCACGAAAGCGUGGGGAGCAAAUAGGAUUAGAUACCCUAGUAGUC
rnacentral:rRNA from 1 species